GGGGGCAUAGUUCAGUGGCAGAGCAUUUGACUGCAGGUCAAGAGGUCCCCGGUUCAAAUCCGGGUGCCCCUU